AGAGAUCUGAGACCAAUAGGUGCUACAGGCAAUUGUCUGGUAUAGGUGCAAGGGAUUGGCAAGUAUGUAGCUGAUACUGCUUCUUCACCUUCUUUUCCAGGUUGAAUCCCAAAAAUGUUCACCAGAGGCCUACAGUGGCUCUACUGUGUGGACCUCAUGUGAAGGGGGCUCAGGGUAUCAGCUGUGGAAGGCACCUAGCCAACCAUGAUGUCCAGGUCAUCCUUUUCCUGCCCAAUUUUGUCAAGAUGUUGGAAUCUAUCACCAACGAGCUGUCGCUCUUCAGCAAGACCCAAGGCCAACAAGUGUCUAGCCUCAAAGAUCUGCCCACUAGCCCUGUGGACCUGGUCAUCAACUGCCUGGAUUGCCCUGAGAACGUCUUCCUGCGGGAUCAACCCUGGUACAAGGCAGCUGUGGCCUGGGCCAACCAGAACCGGGCACCAGUACUCAGCAUAGACCCUCCUGUGCAUGAAGUUGAACAGGGCAUUGAUGCCAAAUGGUCACUGGCACUGGGCCUGCCUCUGCCACUGGGGGA
rnacentral:sRNA from 1 species